rnacentral:pre_miRNA from 1 species
AGGAGGUGUUGGUGAUGCUGCUGACAGAAGAUAGAGAGCACUGAUGAUGAAAUGCAUGAAAGGGAAUGGCAUCUCACUCCUUUGUGCUCUCUAGUCUUCUGUCAUCAUCCUUCUCCCUCCCCUC